AACUAACGCUGGCGGCGUGCCUAACACAUGCAAGUCGUACGAGAAAGCCGGCUUCGGCUGGUGAGUAAAGUGGCGCACGGGUGAGUAACGCGUGGAUAAUCUGCCCUUAAGUGUGGAAUAACGUACCGAAAGGUGCGCUAAUACCGCAUAAUGCCUGGCAACACAAGUUGUCCGGCCAAAGAAGGCCUCUGUUUACAAGCUUUCGCUUCAGGAUGAGUCCGCGUACCAUUAGCUUGUUGGUGGGGUAAUGGCCUACCAAGGCUGCGAUGGUUAGCUGGUCUGAGAGGAUGAUCAGCCACACUGGGACUGAGACACGGCCCAGACUCCUACGGGAGGCAGCAGUGGGGAAUAUUGGACAAUGGGCGAAAGCCUGAUCCAGCAAUGCCGCGUGAGUGAUGAAGGCCUUAGGGUUGUAAAGCUCUUUUACCAGGGAUGAUAAUGACAGUACCUGGAGAAUAAGCUCCGGCUAACUCCGUGCCAGCAGCC
rnacentral:rRNA from 1 species